rnacentral:lncRNA from 1 species
AUCUAGUGAGACUGCUGUCAUGACGAUGGCUAGAUUACAGAAUUGUAAAAAAGAUAAUUUCAAAAAUAAUAGCUCGAUCAGUAACUUCAAGUCUUCAUUUAAGAUGAAUGACAGGAGGGAUGAAAGGUUUUGCACCUACUUUAAUACUGAAGGCCAUAUGAGAGAUUCUUGCUUCAAACUCAUUGGCUAUCCACACUGAUAUAAAGAACUAAAAUAGAAGA